ACAGGUUACAUAUGCUUCACUUUCGAUAUUACUUACACUCAUUCACACUUGCCCUCGCCGAUGUUUCUUAAAACAAAAUGGCGGACAAACUCCACCAUUUUAACUUCAUUAACGAGGGCCUGCCUUUCAUUUAUUCCUCCCACCUUUCACUAACGUCACGUACAUUUCACACAAGUGCCAUCUCUUCACGUUGAAUUACAUACAUAUUUACUUGCGUGCCUAUGUGUGUCUCACUGCAUGCUUAUGCCUGUCUCAUUAUCAUCACCAUCAGCGCAAUUACAAAAAUUACCACACGGACAAUGCAUUACAUGAAGUUUUGCAUGAUCUCCUCAUUCACCUGCACUUUCGUCUUCUUAUUAGAUGUGUCAGUUUCGGAUAAUCCAGCUCUUUCCAUUUUUACCAACGCAGCUCUAUCGUGCUCCGCUCCACCUUUACCACACUAGCCCCCUCUGUAUGGUGAUUUAUCACUAGAAUCAUGUUUUUCCGAUUACCUUUUUGUGCAUCUGUUCAUUCUUGCAGGUGUCACAUACACUUAAUUAACUACGCACCUUCAUUGUCUUCUAAUCUUGCACUCGCCAUCAUUUUUACUACACAUGCCGGCAUCACAUUCUCCUUUUUUCAUUGCUUGCAAACGGCUGCCUUUCAUUUAUUACUCGCCUCUGUGCCUUACGUUACGUACUGUCUACUAUUACAAAUUAUCAUUAGCUUUCAUACCAUUACAAUUCGGAUGUGUUUACGCUGCACCACACACCCACACAACAGAGUUACAUUCCCCCUCAUGGCCAACAACGAUACCGAUUCUAUUAAACUAUCCUCAGCCUCCCCUACGUCCACUCACCCUCUCAUGAGUACCUCAUACCUUUGUAAUCAUCGCCACUGCUGGACGCCCGCACGCGCGUGCGCCUUUCCGCCCUUCAUAGCUGACACUCGCUAACUGCCCUUGCCCCAGCAACCUGUUACGCCACUAUGGGGGAUAUGCGUCUUUGUAUGUUUCACACCUUCCGACCACACUUGCAUAACUGACGGCUCGCGCUACACCAUAUAUAUCUCUCCCUCCAUAUAUAUUCAGACAACAAAAACACCCCUCCCCCCACCCUUUCACUUUAUUUACUGUUGCACAAAGUGCUGUUAAUGACCACCUAUAAAGACGGCUACGGCACACCAGGGGGUGGGUGGCCAACACCACGGCCGCCCGCCAUUGACUCCCCAUUGACGAUGGUUACACACCGCUACAGCUAUUGCAUUUAACGCUGAGUCGCACUAGGGGAGGCCCACGAUCGCUUUACAUUCCCAUCACCGCUGUCGGCCCUGACCAACAAUCUCAAAUAACUUGGCACGUUCGUUGCGCGCCACGCUAACCACCACACACACACGCAGCGCCGAGUGCGUGUGUGCUAAUGACGUCCCGACGCGAGGGCCGCAUGCUUUGUGUGCCGCCACUGUUGCAGAGCAGCUGAGGGACCGACUGGAGCACGUGGGCGGGCAGACGAUCAUACUGGCGGACGUGCACGAGACCAGCAGAGGAGCCGCCUGGAGGACACGAGCCAGAUGAAGAUUGUCCAAGCAGCCGUGGUCGAGGUGGACCAAGAUACAUGCAUGAGAGGACUCAAGAUGCCAUGACCUAUAUCAGUCAAUAUGGCAGGCCCGAUCUCUUCAUCACCUUCACUUGCAAUCUUAAAUGGAAAGAGGUACAGGUUGAUCUUCGAUUUAAAGCUUUUGUGACUGCAGGGAUUCAUCU